rnacentral:rRNA from 1 species
AGAGUUUGAUCCUGGCUCAGGAUGAACGCUGGCGGCGUGCCUAAUACAUGCAAGUCGAACGAAACUUCUUUAUCACCGAGUGCUUGCACUCACCGAUAAAGAGUUGAGUGGCGAACGGGUGAGUAACACGUGGGCAACCUGCCCAAAAGAGGGGGAUAACACUUGGAAACAGGUGCUAAUACCGCAUAACCAUAGUUACCGCAUGGUAACUAUGUAAAAGGUGGCUAUGCUACCGCUUUUGGAUGGGCCCGCGGCGCAUUAGCUAGUUGGUGGGGUAAAGGCUUACCAAGGCAAUGAUGCGUAGCCGAACUGAGAGGUUGAUCGGCCACAUUGGGACUGAGACACGGCCCAAACUCCUACGGGAGGCAGCAGUAGGGAAUCUUCCACAAUGGGCGAAAGCCUGAUGGAGCAACGCCGCGUGGGUGAAGAAGGUCUUCGGAUCGUAAAACCCUGUUGUUAGAGAAGAAAGUGCGUGAGAGUAACUGUUCACGUUUCGACGGUAUCUAACCAGAAAGCCACGGCUAACUACGUGCCAGCAGCCGCGGUAAUACGUAGGUGGCAAGCGUUAUCCGGAUUUAUUGGGCGUAAAGGGAACGCAGGCGGUCUUUUAAGUCUGAUGUGAAAGCCUUCGGCUUAACCGGAGUAGUGCAUUGGAAACUGGGAGACUUGAGUGCAGAAGAGGAGAGUGGAACUCCAUGUGUAGCGGUGAAAUGCGUAGAUAUAUGGAAGAACACCAGUGGCGAAAGCGGCUCUCUGGUCUGUAACUGACGCUGAGGUUCGAAAGCGUGGGUAGCAAACAGGAUUAGAUACCCUGGUAGUCCACGCCGUAAACGAUGAAUGCUAAGUGUUGGAGGGUUUCCGCCCUUCAGUGCUGCAGCUAACGCAAUAAGCAUUCCGCCUGGGGAGUACGACCGCAAGGUUGAAACUCAAAGGAAUUGACGGGGGCCCGCACAAGCGGUGGAGCAUGUGGUUUAAUUCGAAGCAACGCGAAGAACCUUACCAGGCCUUGACAUCCCCCUGGAUGGCCCGUAACGGGGUCAGCCCUUUCUGGGCAGGGGAGACAGGUGGUGCAUGGUUGUCGUCAGCUCGUGUCGUGAGAUGUUGGGUUAA